AGUGAACGCUGGCGGUAGGCCUAACACAAGCAAGUCGAACGGCAGCACAGUAAGAGCUUGCUCUUACGGGUGGCGAGUGGCGGACGGGUGAGGAAUACAUCGGAAUCUACUUUUUCGUGGGGGAUAACGUAGGGAAACUUACGCUAAUACCGCAUACGACCUACGGGUGAAAGCAGGGGAUCUUCGGACCUUGCGCGAUUGAAUGAGCCGAUGUCGGAUUAGCUAGUUGGCGGGGUAAAGGCCCACCAAGGCGACGAUCCGUAGCUGGUCUGAGAGGAUGAUCAGCCACACUGGAACUGAGACACGGUCCAGACUCCUACGGGAGGCAGCAGUGGGGAAUAUUGGACAAUGGGCGCAAGCCUGAUCCAGCCAUACCGCGUGGGUGAAGAAGGCCUUCGGGUUGUAAAGCCCUUUUGUUGGGAAAGAAAAGCAGCAGGUUAAUACCCCGCUGUUCUGACGGUACCUAAAGAAUAAGCACCGGCUAACUUCGUG
rnacentral:rRNA from 1 species